CAGAAGAGGGUGUCAGAUACCCUGGAACUGCAGUUACAUACCUGGUCAUGGGACACCAUGAAGGUCCUGCGAAUUGAAUUUGGUUCCUCUGGAAGAGCAGCCAACACUCUAAAUGCUGAGCCUUUGCUCCAUUGCUGCUGCACAUAUUUUCUUCAUCAACAUCUGUCAGGAACAUUGAUUACGGGCUUCCGCAUGGUUUCCAGUGACAGCACAGACCACAAACAUGCCAUCCAGCUACAGAAGAAACAAAGACCCAGACAAGGCCCUCAGAGGCAGCCUGGACCACUAGCAUCAACAUGGCCUCAGGACGUGGAACUUUCAUCUUAUAUCAGACCACAACGGAAUGAAGCUGGACAUCAAUAGCAACGUAUAAUACAGAAAGUACACAAACUCAUAGUGACUAAACAACACACUGCUGAGCUGUGCUAAGUAAGAAAUCAAGAAAGAAAUACAAAAGGAAUUCAAGAACUGCAUGAAAAUAAAAAC
rnacentral:lncRNA from 1 species